rnacentral:rRNA from 1 species
CGCUGGCGGCGCGUCUAAGCAUAGCAAGUCGAACGGCAAGAGGUAGCAAUACCUCCUAGAGUGGCGGACUGGUGAGUAACACGUGGGUGACAUACCCUUCAGAUGGGGAUAGCUAUUAGAAAUAGUAGAUAAUACCGAAUACGAGCACAGGGGUUAGAGAUCUGUGAGGAAAGGAGCUAAGGCUCCGCUGAAGGAAUGGCCUGCGGCCCAUUAGCUAGUUGGUGAGGUAAGAGCCCACCAAGGCGAUGAUGGGUAUCCGGCCUUAGAGGGUGAACGGACACAUUGGGACUGAGAUACGGCCCAGACUCCUACGGGAGGCAGCAGCUAAGAAUAUUCCGCAAUGGACGAAAGUCUGACGGAGCGACGCCGACCGUGGAUGAAGAAGGCCGGAAGGUUGUAAAAUCCUUUUGAAACUGAAGAAUAAGCGUUGUAGGGAAUGACAGCGUGGUGACAGUAGGUUUUGAAUAAGCAACGGCUAAUUACGUGCCAGCCGCGGC